GCGUCUACUUACCGCUGUUGGUAC
rnacentral:siRNA from 1 species